GGAACCACCAAAGGGUGCCGGGGAGGGGGGAGAGAAAGGGAUUCCCUCACCUAUUCCGGCCCAUUCUUCCUGAAUUUCCACCAGGAGGAGGCGCGCAGCCCGGCUCCCCGGGAGCCCUCGUCCUCAAUCCUCCUACCUAGGCUGCCGAGGCCGGCCGCGCAGCCCGAGUCCCCGCGGCAGGCCCGGCCCUCCGCCUCCGCCUCCCCCUCCCCCUGGGUUGGUUCUGCCCAGCUGCGGAGGUUGGGCCAGGGGCUGGGGUGCGAGGCGAGUCGGCGCCCGCAGCGCGGAGCCGGGAAGUCGCCGCCACUCUGCUGGGACGCGGAGUUGGCUCCGAGGCGGCGCGCGCGCACGGAGGUCGCGCCGCGGAGCCAGCGAGAGGCGCCAACAAAAGCGGCGAGGCGGUGCCACCCCGGACCGCGGCAGGUAGAGGAGCCGGAGGAGGAGCGCGAGCCCACCGUCCCGAGCCGCCGUGCGUACUUUCUGGAGGGCAGGGCAGCGCGGGGGACUCGGCCCCGGGAGGGGGGACGCCCGCGGCGCGGGGGUGAGCCAAGUUCCGGCGGCGGCGGCGGCGGCGGCGGCUCUCCUCCGCUCCCACGAGAGGAAAGUUUCUGCAGACGCUUCCGGCCAGCCCGCGCCCUCCGGCCCAGCCUCCCGAGCCUUCGGAGCGGGCGUCGUCCCAGCCCAGCUCCGGGGAGAGCGAGCCGCGAUGCCUGGGGCGUGCUCCCGGGGCCCCGCCGCCGGGGACGGGCGGCUGCGGCUCGCGCGCCUGGCGCUGGUCCUCUUGGGCUGGGUCUCCUCGCCCUCUCCCACCUCCUCGGCGUCCUCCUCCACCUCCUCGGCGUCGUCCCUGGCCUCCGAGGUGUCUGCUCAGCCCCCGCUGCCGGGCCAAUGCCCCCCGCCCUGCGAGUGCUCCGAGGCGGCGCGCACCGUCAAGUGCGUGAACCGCAACCUGACCGAGGUGCCCGCCGACCUGCCCCCGUACGUGCGCAACCUCUUCCUCACCGGCAACCAGCUGGCGGUGCUGCCCGCGGGCGCCUUCGUCCGCCGGCCACCGCUGGCGGAGCUGGCCGCGCUCAACCUCAGCGGCAGCCGCCUGGAGGAGGUCCGCGCCGGCGCCUUCGAGCACCUGCCCAGCCUGCGCCAGCUCGACCUCAGCCACAACCCGCUGCCCACCUCAGCCCCUUCGCUUUCUCUGGCAGCAACGCCAGCGUCUCGGCCCCCAGCCCCUUGAUGGAACUGAUGCUGAACCACAUCGUGCCCCCGGCGGAGCAGCGGCAGAACCAGAGCUUGGAGGGCAUGGUGGCCGCGGCCCUGCGUGCGGGCCAUGCGCUGCGUGGACUCAGUCGCCUGGAGCUGGCCAGCAACCAUCUCCUGUACCUGCCCCGGGACUUGCUGGCCUACCUGCCGGGCCUCACACACCUGGACCUGCGUAACAAUUCGCUGUCACUGUGGAAAGAAAGAAGAUCCAAGUGCACCGUGAUUGUUUCCUUAGGAAUUGUUUCAUUCUGUCCCUUUUGGCCUGAUGUUGUAAGAUGGGCUCAGCUUGCUGAGGAUAGUCCAGGAUUUGCAACUUUAGUAUAUUUCAAUGAGGACCCAUGAAUCCUUUCUUCAGUUAAUUCAACCUAUAUUUAUUAAACACUUGAUACCUAUCAGAAUUGUUGUUGCUCUGUAUCUUACAAAAUGAGUUUGUCAUUUGAAAUUGCAUCUGAUCUAGUAAUAAGUAAUGACAAUAACCAACAUUUUAAUGAGUGUUUACUACGAGUCAGGCACAAGACAGAGCUAUAUAGAAGGUCUUAUUUCUUCUCAUUUGAAGGGAAAACUGAAGCUUUGCAAGAACAGAUAAUGUUCCCAAGGACAACUAGGUAGUAAGACUCAGAUUUGGGAUUUGCAUUGCUAUGUUUUGAGGUAAGAAUGGGACUAUCUCCGGGCCCCAUGUUUUCCACACCUGAGCUUUAAGAUGCGAAUGGCUGUUGUAGGCCACAACGUGAGGAGCAUGGACCAGAGAUUCAAACAGUGUGAGAUAACUUUAAAGCACAGAUCUUAUUUUGUUGGGAGAUUUUGCAAAAGGGUUUAUGCUAGAGUUAGCUAUAAAAAUGUUUUGAAGGAAGAGGAAACUUGAAAUGGUGAAUGGGAGACAAAACUCAGGUCAAGAAGGGACAACACUUGCAAAGAGUAGAGGCAGUUGGAGACUGAGUGUGCUCAAGGAACAGUAGCAUGUGAGGCAUAAUGUAUAGAGAGAACAGUGGAGAGUAAGAAAGAUAAAUCUGUAACUAUGAGAGUUUCCAUUUAAUUCACUGGACAGUGAGGAAGCAACUAGAAGUCUAUGAGCAGGGGGGUAAAUGAAUAACUGUGUCUGUGUCCCCACUCCCAAACCAGAUGGGAUCAAUCCCCUUCUCACAUUGGUGUAAGUAUCAAGAAUGUUGACAACACAUAUGCAUCAACAAGGUAGAAACAGGUCAAUUUCGUUGCACAGUGGCACUUCCUGGGGAGAGCAGGACUUGUCUGUGUGUUUUCGUUGUGAUUGUGGAUGAGG
ensembl:lncRNA